rnacentral:rRNA from 1 species
AUUGAACGCUGGCGGAAUGCUUUACACAUGCAAGUCGAACGGCAGCACGGGGGCAACCCUGGUGGCGAGUGGCGAACGGGUGAGUAAUACAUCGGAACGUGCCCGGUCGUGGGGGAUAACGUAGCGAAAGUUACGCUAAUACCGCAUACGAUCUGAGGAUGAAAGCGGGGGACCUUCGGGCCUCGCGCGAUCGGAGCGGCCGAUGUCAGAUUAGGUAGUUGGUGGGGUAAAGGCCUACCAAGCCGACGAUCUGUAGCUGGUCUGAGAGGACGACCAGCCACACUGGGACUGAGACACGGCCCAGACGCCUACGGGAGGCAGCAGUGGGGAAUUUUGGACAAUGGGCGCAAGCCUGAUCCAGCCAUUCCGCGUGCAGGACGAAGGCCUUCGGGUUGUAAACUGCUUUUGUAUGGAACGAAAAGGCUCUGGCUAAUACCUGGGGCUCAUGACGGUACCGUAAGAAUAAGCACCGGCUAACUACGUG